rnacentral:rRNA from 2 species
GAUGUCUGGGCCGCACGCGCGCUACACUGUUGCAUUCAACGAGCCUAUCCUUGACCGAGAGGUCCGGGUAAUCUUUGAAACUGCAACGUGAUGGGGAUAGAUUAUUGCAAUUAUUAGUCUUCAACGAGGAAUGCCUAGUAAGCGCGAGUCAUCAGCUCGCGUUGAUUACGUCCCUGCCCUUUGUACACACCGCCCGUCGCUCCUACCGAUUGGGUGUGCUGGUGAAGUGUUCGGAUUGGUUUUAGUUGAUGGCAACAUUGGCUUUUACUGAGAAGAUCAUUAAACCCUCCCACCUAGAGGAAGGAGAAGUCGUAACAAGGUUUCCGUAGGUGAACCUGCGGAAGGAUCAUUG